UCUCGGGCCGCGCUGAGGGCCCCACCCAUCGCUUCCACGCCGCGGUCCCAGCCGCAUCACCUUUGCUCUCGGUCCCCGGCCCUCUGUUCGCCCGCUGGGAGCGCAGUGGAGCCCAGUGCUGGGCACGAGCCUGGCGGGGCCGCAGGCUCCGCCCUGCUGCGCCCCGCCCCGCCUGGGCUCCCGGGAAAGGCUGCCGCGGGGACGUGUCGUGCCCCCCUCAGCGAGGGCAGGAGCGUGUGAAAGGCCGCGGGGCUGUCAGAGAGCGAAAUGUCAUCAGCGGAAUCACAGCAGGAACAAUUGUCCCAGUCAGAUCCAUCCCCGUCACCAAACUCAUGUAGUUCCUUUGAGCUACUAGACAUGGAUGCUGGCAGUUUGUAUGAACCAGUUUCUCCUCAUUGGUUUUAUUGUAAAAUAAUAGAUUCUAAAGAGACUUGGAUUCCUUUCAACUCCGAGGAUUCACAGCAGCUGGAAGAGGCAUAUGGUUCUGGAAAAAAUUGUGAUGGGAGAGUUGUCCCCACUGAUGGGGGCAGAUAUGAUGUGCAUUUGGGGGAGAGGAUGCGGUAUGCUGUAUACUGGGAUGAGCUAGCAUCAGAAGUGAGACGAUGUACCUGGUUUUACAAGGGAGACAAAGAUAAUAAGUAUGUUCCCUACUCAGAGAGCUUCAGCCAAGUAUUAGAGGAAACGUACAUGCUUGCUGUAACUCUGGAUGAGUGGAAAAAGAAACUGGAAUCUCCCAACAGAGAAAUUAUUAUAUUACACAAUCCAAAGCUUAUGGUGCAUUACCAGCCAGUUGCAGGGUCUGAUGAAUGGGGUUCAACACCCACUGAACAGGGUCGACCAAGAACAGUGAAGAGAGGAGUUGAGAACAUCUCUGUUGACAUUCAUUGUGGAGAGCCUUUGCAAAUAGAUCACUUGGUUUUUGUAGUCCAUGGGAUUGGACCAGCUUGUGAUCUCCGCUUUCGAAGCAUUGUACAGUGUGUUAAUGAUUUUCGCAGUGUUUCCUUGAACCUGCUACAAACACAUUUUAAGAAAGCCCAAGAAAAUCAGCAGAUUGGGAGGGUAGAAUUUCUUCCAGUCAACUGGCACAGUCCUUUGCAUUCUACUGGUGUGGAUGUAGAUCUGCAGCGAAUAACUCUGCCCAGCAUUAACCGCCUAAGGCAUUUCACCAAUGACACAAUUCUAGACGUCUUCUUCUACAAUAGCCCCACCUAUUGUCAGACUAUUGUGGACACAGUUGCUUCGGAAAUGAACCGAAUAUAUACACUUUUUCUGCAGAGGAACCCUGAUUUCAAAGGGGGUGUAUCCAUUGCUGGUCAUAGUUUAGGUUCGCUUAUAUUGUUUGAUAUCCUAACAAAUCAGAAAGAUUCUUUGGGGGAUAUGGAUAAUGAAAAGGAUGCACCAAAUAUUGUCAUGGAUCAGGGAGACACACUGACACUAGAGGAAGAUUUGAAGAAACUGCAACUCUCGGAAUUCUUUAGUGUCUUUGAGAAGGAGAAAGUAGAUAAGGAAGCUCUGGCUUUAUGUACUGACAAAGAUCUUCAGGAAAUGGGAAUUCCCCUAGGACCAAGAAAGAAGAUAUUAAACCACUUUAGGACCAGAAAAAAUUUAAUGGAUAUUAAUAGACCAACCCUGCAGCCAGCUUCAGGCGUGACUGUAUCUAACAUCCCCAAAGAAUCAGGUGUCUGCAGUAAAACUGAUGCUACUGGGAAUGGUGACUAUCUACAUGUUGGCAUUGGGCAGGUGUCUGUAAAAUAUCCCCGGCUCAUCUACAAACCAGAAAUAUUCUUUGCCUUCGGAUCUCCUAUUGGAAUGUUCCUUACUGUCCGAGGACUAAAAAGAAUUGAUCCCAACUAUAAAUUUCCGACGUGCAAAGGCUUCUUCAAUAUCUAUCACCCUUUUGAUCCUGUGGCCUAUAGGAUUGAACCGAUGGUGGUCCCAGGAGUGGAAUUUGAGCCAAUGUUGAUCCCACAUCAUAAAGGCAGGAAGCGGAUGCACUUAGAAUUGAGAGAGGGCUUGACCAGGAUGAGUAUGGACCUUAAGAACAACUUGCUAGGUUCGUUGCGGAUGGCAUGGAAGUCUUUCACUAGAGCUCCAUACCCUGCCUUACAAGCUUCAGAAACUACAGAAGAAACUGAAGCAGAAUGUGAAUCAAGUCCAGAGAAACUGAGUGAUGUUAACACAGAAGAGACCUCUGUGGCAGUUAAAGAAGAAGUCCCACCCAUCAAUGUGGGAAUGCUAAAUGGAGGCCAGCGCAUUGACUAUGUGCUACAAGAGAAGCCCAUUGAAAGUUUUAAUGAAUAUUUAUUUGCUUUACAAAGCCAUCUAUGCUACUGGUGUCUUUAUGAACUGGAUGUAAGUAAUUGCCUAAGCACACACAGAAUAAUAUCUGGAAGAUGCACGAGAAGUUGAUAACCACUAGUUCCCAUCCUCUGACAAUCAAUGUUAAGAAACAGAGGGAGUCUGAAGAUACAGUAUUGUUGGUCCUCAAAGAAAUCUACCAAACCCAGGGCAUCUUCCUUGAUCAGCCUUUACAAUAAAAAUGAACCAUGUAUGGCUGCUUAAUACGGACACUGCAGGAUCCUCCCCCAGAAAAGCCACCUGCUUGUUGCUGCAGUUUCCCUCUCCUCAGCUGCGUCAUUUCCUGCAUGUUGCCUGCCACUUACUUACUACUGGGAUCUUUGGAGGACUUGUUAUCUUGGAAGUGAGUGGAAGAACAAAGGGAAGACCACUGGCUUCAUAGAAGCAUUUGCCACUCUUCAUAGCAGGGGUUAUUUGCAGCUCUAAUACUUGGAUGAUAGAUGCCACCCUUCAUUGCUUAUUAUUUGAGAUAGUAUAAAGUCUGUUUUGAGUUUAUUUUGGUUUGAGUAGAAAUUUUUUCUAGGAAAUUAUUGUUUCUCUUUAGAAAAUGUUCUAGUUUGGAAGCAGGCUCUGGAGAUUAAAUCUUAGUAUAUGUGCUGCUGAAGCGAGCACGGCUCCGGUGAUUCAGAAGGCAUUUUGGGUACACUCAUCUCUCAUUGGUAUUCUCUGUAUUUGAAGGCUAAGUAGUUAAAGGAAAAGACUUCUAGGCAACUUCUUUUGAGCCGGCAUUUCUUUCCUACAAGUACUGUGUGAAGGACUAAAAUGUAGCUUACAGAGUAUUGUUUACUCUCUAUAGCUGACUGACCUUUGAUUGCAAGGAAUCACUGAUGCUGUUUAUUGUUUUCACAGCUGUUUGAGCUGCUCUCAGAGUCUGCAGCAGAUAGUUUAGUUCCCAUUAGGUGCAUUUUAUAAAGCAAAGAUGUUAUAUAUCCUAGACCUGUCCUUUUAUACCAUAUUUCAAAUGGGGAGACUCUGAAAUCUUAGUUAUUUGAUAGUAACUUCUCUUUUUGAGGGCAAAGUUAUAAAGGCUGGCAAACCUGAAAUCACGCAGCCUUAACAGGCUCUCUGGUUAUGAAUAAAAUCUCUCAGUAGUACAUUUAAGGUGAACUAGAAUUUGUGCGAGUCAACCAUUGUAUCCACUUGGGUGAGGGCAGUGUUGUGUGUCCUCUUUGAAAACCCUUUAUAAACACCAUUGCUUGCUUAGGUACCCAUGAUCCAGGAGCUUAUUUAAAAGCCUCAUGGCACAGGCAUUGUUGGCUGGGCAGGAGGCUUUGGCUAAGGGAAAUGUUUCUUAUUCUGAAAGAAAAACUUAUGCCUGUAGGAGUCAAGGAACAGCCUGUGCAGAGUAUACAUCAGAACAUUCAAAGUGAAGUGUACCUUGAAUAGUGACCAAUUUUUUUUUUUUCCCGAGGGCAUCUGCUCACCACAGGGCUAUAUUUCCUAUCUCAUUGGUUAUUUGUCAUUGUUUUUGCACUUUUCUUUGUGAUAGUCCUUUACCCUCCUCUCCAACUUCCAUAGGCCUCUCUGUUUUAUAGCGUGGUACAGGCAGGUAAGCUGCGUUUCUUUAUAAACAAUGUUUUUUUGUAAAUAUAUCAUGGUGUCUAGUGUAUUGGUAUAUAACAUUCACUUAAGCCAUCCCUUCAACAGCAGUGGUCUCCAUCCCUUUAAUCACCGUCACCUUGGAGAUGACAGAGGUGAGGCUGGGUGCAAGAUCCGUGGCUGGCCUUUACUUGUCCAUCUGCUUAUAGACUAAUGCUGAGCCACUAAGAAGUGUCAGGUAUAUGGAAUACUUUUCUUUACCAUAUGAACUGAAUUUGAAGUAAGGAUUACUGAGAAUUAAGUAGUGUUCAAUUAUAUUUUAAAGGGGAAGCUUUUGUCAACUUGUCAAUUUACAUUUAUUCUUCAUAUUAGCAGAAUAGAUAGUAUUUAAGAGUAAACCAAAGGAAAAGCAAGAAUGAGUCCCUGUAACCAAAGAUGAACAGCUCAACAGCAUAACUGUGGAUAGCUAGAUAAACCACUGUGUUGGUACUAAGAAAUGUUUUUUGGUGAGGGGCAGGCAACUGUAAAAGAGCUUUUAUCUUGUCUCUCUACCUGUGGUAUCAUCAUGGUUGUAUAUUACACAGAAUAAUAAGCUUGAUUUAAAUUCUUUAUUUAGUUGUAUAUUGUUUGCACUACUUCAGUUGUAUUACAUGCAAUCUCUUGACCAAGCCUAAUUUUAAACUCAAUAGAGUAUCAUUUUAUACAUAUUUCCUGCUACGGAAUUUGUAUUGCUUAUCUCAACAAGAGAUUGUCUGCAUGGAAAGGUUAAUAGCACUGAUUAGCUUUCUAAUAUUUUGCACUUUUUGAAAUGUUUGUUUUUUACAUGAUUAUAUUUAAAAGUUUAUGAAAUACUGAAAUAAAACCUUAUUGACCAGUUGCCUUUUA